rnacentral:misc_RNA from 1 species
UUUCCGUAGGUGAACCUGCGGAAGGAUCAUUAUUGUAUAACCGAGGUGCGAGGGCUGUCGCUGACCCGAAAGGUCGUGCACGCCCGAGUGCCCUCACAGACAUCCAUCUCACCCCUAUGUGCACCACCGCGUGGGUCCCCCUUUGGCUUGUUCAGAGGGGGGCUUACGUUUUCACACAAACUUUGUAUGCAGUGUAGAAUGUAUUUUUUGUUUUUGCGAUCACGCAAUCAAUACAACUUUCAACAACGGAUCUCUUGGCUCUC